rnacentral:rRNA from 1 species
CCAGGGAUUAGAUACCCCAGUAUACUUAUUCUUAAAUUGUAAGGCUAGAUUACUAGUAGAUAGGUUCUUGAAAUUCAAAGAAUUUGGCGGUAUCUUAAUCUUAUUAGAGGAACCUGUUUUAUAAACGAUAAACCACGAAGAAUCUUAUUUGUCUUAAAUAGUUUGUAUACCGUCAUUAUUAGAUAAUUUUGGAAAAAUUAAUUAUUAGGAUUAAUAAGUUUUAAAUAUAUUAGAUCAAGGUGCAGCUUAUAGACAAGAGAAAAAUGGGUUACAUUAAAUUAAUUUAAACGGAAGCUAGCUUUUAAUAGGCUGCCAAAGGCGGAUUUAAUUGUAUGCUUAAUUUAAUAUGUUAAGUAGAAAUUGGCUCUAAGAUAUGUACAUAUCGCCCGUCGCUA